rnacentral:SRP_RNA from 1 species
UCUGGGUCUGCUAACAGAUGCCUGUAAUCCCAGUUACUGGGGAGGCUGAGGCUGUUGGAUCUCUCUUAGUCUAGCAGUUCUGAACUGUACUGGGCUAUGCGGAUCAGGUGUCCACACUUAAUUUCAGCAUUAAUAUGGUGAGUUCUUAGGAGCAGGAGACAACUUGGUUCCCUGUAUAGAGGUUAAAUGCCAUAGAUAGGAAGCAGAGCAGAUCAGAAUUCUCAUGAUGAUUGGAAAUGAGUUUGGACCUGUGAGUAGACCCUGUAUUUCCAGCAUAGGUGAGAUGGGCAGACCCAGUCUUU